GUGCUUGCUUCAGCAGCACAUAUACUAAAAUUGGAACGACACAGAGAAGAUUAGCAUAGCUCCUGCUCAAGCAUGACACGUACAGGGGGAGGAGGGCCCCCUCAGU